rnacentral:lncRNA from 1 species
CUCUGGUGCCAAACUCUGCAUCCUGUGUGUCGGGACCCCUUUCAGUGGGGCAGCCAGCCUGAAAACAACACCACUGAAAAGCCCCCUGUGUCUCCAUGGCACCCCAAGGAGUCAGAGGGGAGCUCUAGCCAGCAAAAAUCAACACCGAAUUAAAUCUGGAAACUAAAAAAAAGAAAAGUGUAUCCUACUCUAGGUCUACUGUUAUAAAUACUGACCUCCAACCCCUCUUUAAUACCAGGUAUGCCAACACAAAAAAUUUUAGAGAAGACGUGUGUGUGACUAUAUAUUACAUCUCUUAUGUGUAUAAUUUCUCUCCACCACCAACAAAAUCUUUAGCCUCCAAAACCAAGAAUUGGAAAAUGUCUUCAGCCAACAUUUCUUUUUCCUACACAGCUUAGAUAUCUUGAAGAGAAGUGUUGUAAGUUGGACAGACCCUAAAUUAUCCUGGGAAGCAAGAGCAUAUUUUUGUUUUGUGCAAAGCCACGGGACUGCUGGAAUCAGACUUACUGCAAGCACAUCCGGUUUCAUUUAUUUGUCAGUUCGGAAGUUGUCAUCCACUAGAAUCCUGGACUUCCGUAAAGCAAGAGUUCUCAAAGAAAACAUUAAGGCUUCAAAGAGGUGAACACCAGAAAACAAAACUUCUCCAGCACCUUCCAUGUGAAAUAAUCCUGUUUCUUGCCUGAACUCCCAGUGUGAGGACAGGUCAGAAGCAACCCAAGGGACCACCAGUGCCCCAGACUCCAGAUGACCCUGGGAAAGAGGACCCACACUCCCCAUGGGGCUGGAGUGCAGGUGUGGGAGGAAAGUUGAACAUAUGAAAAUGAAUGUAAGAAAUACACAAUGAAUAAAAUAGCAGAAUGUUAAAUAAAGACAAGCUCUCUGUUGUUUUACUGCCCUGGGUCAUGUAGUAGAGAC